GGCUGACCGGAAUAUACGUUUUUUUGUGAGGUCACUCCUGUGGCCAUUUAGGCGUUUGUGAAAUGGCUGCAUAGAUUCACCAACAUAUUGGAGACCACAUCUAGGACACUCAAGAACGUAAAUCACGUUUGAGCUUUUGCAGUUGACAUUGCAGAAAAUAUUGUAUGUCUUUUCUGUGGUCUUACUGUGAAAUGUUGAUGAAUGCUGCAAUUGGUUCAAACCUCUCAGUCACUUUAUUGAUUAUAUUAGAUCUACAUCGUAUUGAACAUAAAAUAUUAUUACAGGUGAAGUACUGGAGAAAAUUUUGUUUUAAUAAAAAUAGCCUAUUUUUUUUAAUUAUGGGUUUUAUAUUUCAACUGCAAUUUAUUUUCUUUGGUCCUCAAAAUUAUUUUAUUUUAUGUUCUUGUUUUUUUUUUUUUUUUGCAUCUUUUUCUUAUUUGUUUGCAUAAAUUUUUUAAACAUAUUUGUAUUCUAUAUCUAGAAAAUUAUUUUUGUUUUACUGAUUUAUUUUCCACGUAAAUCCAUUGAUUAGCAGAAUGCUGUCUCAAGUGCUGCUAGAUACGUUUUAGUUUGACGCGGUCACACGCAAAAUGUAUCUAUAUUAAUAUUCAGUCUGUGUUGGGUCAGUUCCGAGAUAAAAAUAAUUACAGUGAGCCAUACUUGUAUACUAAUAGCUUAAUGAUUCUUUAUAGUUGUAAAUUUACGUUUUAC
rnacentral:lncRNA from 1 species